rnacentral:ncRNA from 2 species
AACGCACCUUGCGCUCCUUGGUAUUCCGAGGAGCAUGCCUGUUUGAGUGUCUUGAAGUCAUCAACCCCUCCCGUUUCGUGCGUGGAGAAGGUUGGAGGUGGGGGCUUGCGGUCGUGAGGCCGCUCCCCUCAAAUGCUUCGGUCGGGCCUGUGGGUCGGACUCGGUUGGGCGUUGUACCAUCCUCGCUCUCCUCCGAGAACUUCCCCGUCGAUAGAGCCCUUCCCCGGCCUCCUAUGGAGCGGUGGCCAAACAAACACUUUUGAAAUCUGACCUCAAAUCAGGUAGGACUACCCGCUGAACUUAA